GUGAAGAACGUAGCGAAAUGCGAUAAGUAAUGUGAAUUGCAGAAUUCAGUGAAUCAUCGAAUCUUUGAACGCACAUUGCGCCCCCCAGUAUUCUGGCGGGCAUGCCUGUUCGAGCGUCAUUUCAACCAUCAAGCCCUGCUUGUGUUGGGGUCCUGCGGCUGCCCGCAGGCCCUGAAAACCAGUGGCGGGCUCGCUAGUCACACCGAGCGCAGUAGCACAUCUCGCUCAGGGCGUGCGGCGGGCUCCAGCCGUUAAAGCACCCACCUUUCGCAAGGUUGACCUCGGAUCAGGUAGGAAUACCCGCUGAACUUAAGCAUAUCAAUAAGCGGAGGA
rnacentral:misc_RNA from 1 species